rnacentral:misc_RNA from 1 species
CCGCCGCCGACAUGUACCCUCCUCUCGGGCUGACUAUGUGCGGGUUCCCGCGCCCGUCGCCGGCCGCCGGGUCGUCGAGCACGGAGAUCUCGGCGAGGUCCGGCCGGGGCGAGCCGGUCUCGCCGGGCGCGCGCUGCUGCUCGUGCUCGGCGCGCCACUGCCUGAGCUCCCGCUCCGCCGACAGCUUUUCGAACUCCGCCUCGUCGGCCUCCAGCGUCGCGGCUUCCAGCGCCUGCCGCCUCUGCUCGGUCCGCUUCGCCAGCCGAGCGACCUUCUCCAGCUUCCUCGCCUCCGCGUCCUUGGCCUCCUCGACCAGCUUCACCGCCUCGACCACCCGCAUGCUGUCGGCCUCCUCUGUCUCCUGCGCUCUCCGGCGCAGCUCGUUGUAAUCGUCCACCGUCAGCGUCACCUCCGACGUGUCCGCGGCGAGUAUCUCCCGCGUCACCGCCUCCAGCCGCGCCUCCAUGGCGGCGAGGGCUGCCUUGGCCACGCCCGCGUCUUCCCUGGCCCUGGCGACCUUCUCUCGAGCCGACUGGGCCUUCGCCUUCGCUUCCUCCGCUUCUCGCCGUGCCUGGCCUACCCGCUCGGCCAUCUUGCUAUCGUCGUCGUCCGCCUUCGCUCCUGCCUCCGCCGCGGCGACCUCGGUGGUCACUCGCCUCAACUCCUCCUCGGGGUAAGGAAUGGACGCUGGCGAGAGCCCUUCCCUCUCCCUCCGCCGCAGCGCGGUGAGCUCCGCUUUCUCCUUCUCCAGCUCAUCGCGCAUCGAGGCGGCGGCGACGCGCAGGCACUUGACCUCGUCCUUGGCCCACUCAAUGCUCGCCUUCACGUCGUCCAGCUCCUUCUCGGUCUUCUCCUGCAUCGACUGGGUGCUCGCCGCCGGCUUCUCCUCCUGGCCAGGCGUUCCUUCGACGGCGCAAGCGAACAGCUCGGUUUUGAGGCUCGCCAUCAGUUGGGAAGCUGCCUCCGCCUUCAUCUCGACCUCGCGCAGCCUCUUGUCCUCCCGCUCGGCUUCCUCCAGCUCGAUCUGCCACCGUGUCUUGUCAUCCUCCCACGCGACGGCCAGGCUCCUCGUCUUCUCCUCCGCCUCGACAUGAGCGGCGCGCGAGGACUCCAGCUCCCCUUUCAGCGCGGCGAGCUCGGCCGCGAGGUCCUCGACGGCCUUCCCAGCCUCCCGCGACGCCGCGGCGGCCUCCCGCGCCCGCGCCACCGCCGCGCCCGCCUCGGCCGCGGCGCGCGCGUGCUCCUUCUCCAGCGACUCUACUU